UUCCCAAUGAGAUUCUGAUGCUCUUUCUCCAGAUGUAGAAGUAGAGGGUCAGAAAGGUCGGGUAACCUACCCAACAACCCAAAACACAGUCCAGAUCUAAAUCCCAUGUUCUCAAGUGCUGCAUUGUCUCUUGAAUGUAGAGGGGCUUCUCAUGAAAAUAAAUAAGAAAGGCCUGGAAGGGGUGUAGGCAGCUAAAGAGGAGGACAGCCUGGUUCUGGUUAAUGAGGUUCUGGUUGCAGACAAAGAGCAGCCUCUGUGAGAGGGUACUGGAAAUGAAGUAAGGUCCUCAGGGUUUUCACCCACAUCAUAAAAUAAGGAUUGAGCGAAGUGGGUUUGCAAAGGGAAAGGGCUCUCAAGGAUCCUGUGGAAUGGAGGGAAGAGGCUGGAGAGCAGGAAGAAAAUGAGCAAGGAAAGGGGGUGAGGCUUCCCAGCAGCCAUGGGGAUAAAAGAAUGAAUGUGUGGUUGACCGAACGCAAGUAUCUACUUUGGGAAGUAUAUGCAGACUCUGAGAAUGAGCAGCUUGGACAGAAUCAGAGGGGCUGAACUUCUCAGGUGUGUCAGGAAGUACUCAACCAGAAUGAAUCUAUGGUACUUAUUAUAUUCCUCUCAGUUUUCUGAGUACUCUUCUCCCUGGAGAGACUUCUACUCACUAGUAUAGCCUGUUUGCCCCUCAUCAAGUUCUGGCAUAAUCCCCAGUUCCUCUGGAAAUUCCCACCUCGCUGCUAUUAGCUGAGCUACAUCUGCUGCAAAGGCCAGGGGCAAGAACAUAAAUCAUGAUCAGCAGUGGAAGGAGAGGAGUGCCUGUGCAAGAAGACCACAGAUGGAUUUUCCAGGAGGAGAGUUAAAAGUUUGAAGAUUCUGGGCCAAGGGAAGCUGCUCUGAGACUUGCUGAACUAUGUGGACAGCUGGUUUCCACCACGCCUGGAUGUCCUCAGCCAAAUACGCAAAUACAUCAGAAACUUCAGGACCGUGACAGGUGGUUAGCAUGGAUAGAAGACCAGAUCAGCUGCAAAGUGAAGAAGGCUCAAGUUAUCUGUACAUCUGGAUUAUUAUACUACAAUUACAGUAGGUUAACAUGUAUUAUCAAUUUCCAAGUGUGAAAGACUGUGUAGUGUUUUCACACUUAUUUCAACACAGGACCCUGUC